rnacentral:rRNA from 1 species
GACGGAGGGUGCUAGCGUUGUUCGGAAUGACUGGGCGUAAAGGGCGCGUAGGCGGCUCGUGAAGUCGGGUGUGAAAGCCCGGGGCUCAACCCCGGAACGGCAUCCGAUACUGGCGGGCUUGAGACCGGGAGAGGAGGGUGGAAUACCCAGUGUAGAGGUGAAAUUCGUAGAUAUUGGGAAGAACACCGGUGGCGAAGGCGGCCAUCUGGACCGCAACUGACGCUGAGGCGCGAAAGCGUGGGGAGCAAACAGG